rnacentral:lncRNA from 1 species
GUAAACCAAAGUGUGCCUAUAGAAUAUGGGUGGUGCACACGACCACGGGGAACAUUGAUAAGUGAUAUACCUGUGUUCAAAUAUAAUUGUGCAGUUAUAAGUUCUAAGUUAUAGCCCCGACCACUUUUUUCGCAGAACUUAAAAAUCUUGUUGAGAUAUAACAAGUCAUACUUGUACCCAUGUAAGUGUGUAAACACAGACUAUUUUUGGUCGCCAAUAUAGACUUUCAU